UUUUUUUAACGUCUUUAUUCUUAUAUUUAUUUUCCCUCUUUAAUGCUAUUUUGUGGAGAAAAAGCACAAUUGUUCAGACUAACAUCUUAAUCUGUCAUGCCCUUUUAAAUUACGAAGGCUUGUGCCCCCCACUCGCCCCCCGCCCAGUUGCUUGACCGGCAACAGACAGACUCCGGACAUCCUCCAGCUAUUCCGGAGGGUCUCAAAGUACGACCUCACUGCGAUCUGAACCAGGUCUCUAAUUAUUUUCUAUUUUGGCCUCUUCGUCAGGCUACAGAGCCGCGGUUGUUGGGGGUCCUCCCACGUGGUCACCACCUUUAAGAAGAUUUUCUCCACAGAUAACUAUGGCUCUAACAUGAUUUUCCCUAAAUUCAUAUCGCAGUGUUUAACAACUCUAGGGUGGAGGGGAAAGGCUGUGGACCAGAUGCCAGGAUCUUCAAUGAAUCAGUAAAGGUGUUGAGGUGUAACCAAAUGAGCCCAAUGCAGGGCUUGAACUCAUGACCCUGAGAUCAAGACCUGAGCUGAGAUCAAGAGUUGGACACUUAACCAACUGAACCACCCAGGCGCCCCCACAAUUCCCAUUUUAAAGACCUAUGACAAUUUCUCAGAGAAAUAAAGCAACUUUCCCAAAGCCAUAAAGCUAAUAAAUCUUGAAAUAUGUUUCACCUGUCUAAGAAAAUAAACUGUAUUUUUUUAAAGAUUUUUAAGUAAUCUCUACACCCAACGUGGGGUUUGAACCUACAACCCUGAAAUCAAGAGUUGCAUGCUCUACUGACUGAGCCAGCCAGGAGCCCCCAGUAUGAUCUUUUUUACACUCAUCUCAAACCACUUAAUACCUGUUUAUUUCUGUUAUAAUGUAUUUGUUGUUACAUGGCAGGCUCCCAGGGUGAUGUGCCAGGAGAGGAAAGCUAUUUGGCAAGAAGCCUGACAGUGUAGCACCAAC